rnacentral:tRNA from 1 species
AUUUAAGUAACUUAAGUAAAAGUUUGAUAUUGAAGCUAUCAUUAUGGGUAGUUUACCCCUUAAAUA